GCUGACCCAGGUGAUCCUCUUGGAAAUUGCAGGGUCCUGGGGUAGCUCUUUCUCCCCAUCAAGUUGGCAGCUUAUGCUGGGGCUCCAGGCUCACAAGGUCCUGUAGGGGGUUCUGGUGGAAAUCUGUCAGGUUCCUGUAGCUUCCAGGACCUGCCUAGCACAGGAUGUUUUGGGUACUGGAGCUGGAGGACCAAAAGAGCUGAGAGGUUUUUAUGUAGGCUGCACAUCCUGGAAUCGCAGCUGAGAGUUUCAUCUCUGUGGUUCCCUGGUUCUGGGGUUAGGAUCCUGAAAUAAUGGACCAAAAUUGCCAAUAGCAGCACAAAUAUGCACAGAAAUUGUUAUUCAGCUUACCUGGAAACUUGGUGACUCCUGAGUUAAACUGACCUGUGAGUGAAUUCAUAUCUUUGCCUUCUGUGGAAGAUUGUGGCCUCAGCAAGAUUCAAUGUGGAAUGAAAAUCCAGCCACGUUCACAGCACUGCCUUCCAUGGGGAUGCAACUGCUGCAUUUUAACGUUUGACUGGAGAAAAAAGUAGGUUAGAAGGUUUUGGUGUCCUCCCUGGAGCUUCAUCCUUGGCUGAACAGAUAAUAACUCUCUAGGAAAACACUCCAGCAGUCUGGUGUUUUCAUCCUACUUCCCUGCAAAACCCACUUUUCUCUAAGGAGGUGAGGAGGGUAAACGUCUGCAAUUAGCAGAUUCUGCAUUGAGGAGCUUGAGAAGAUUCAAUUCCCAUUUUGGUACUUUUGAAAGGACUGGCCCCCAAUCCUCACCUGACGUCCCUCACACUACUGAGCAGCUGAUGUGCUGCAGGCAGGACCCUGCUUGGCUGUGGAGCUGGUCUGUAGUUCUGGCAUGUUCCCUGCAGGUUUGAUACACAUUUUGAGUGGGGAAAACAAGAAUGGUGCCUUAAAGGCAUGGAAUAAUGCUGUACAGGAUAUGUCUCGAUGAAGUACAAAUACCAGAAAAAUUCAUAUCUUGUGUGUAUUUGACCUGGUCACUCCAGUCUCCCUUUAUAGCCUUGGGAGAAGAAAAUGGCACAUUAAGAGUAUAAUUUCUGACCUAGGUUUUCUCAGGCUUUCUGUGGGAUAUGUUGAUGAAUAGCUCUUGACUAGGAAGCCACAGAUCUUGUGGAGAGCUCAGGUGUGAGCAUAUUCCUCUGGCCACAUGAAGCUGGAGCCACUCUCCAGUAUUGGGACUUUUUGCCAUCACCCUGCAGGGUGCCAGAAUAACUGCACAUGUAAUAUUAUGCUGUAUUUCCUAAGUGUGGCAGAAAUCCAUUCCCCUCCAUCCCUGUGUUAUUACUCAAAUACCACCCUGAGGACUCUGGAAUGACUUUUUGGGAAUCCACUGUUACUCUUCAGCUGUUUUUGU